rnacentral:rRNA from 1 species
CGUAGGUGACAAGCGUUGUCCGGAUUUACUGGGCGUAAAGAGCGCGCAGGCGGUCGUUCAAGUCGAGUGUGAAAGCCCCCGGCUCAACUGGGGAGGGUCAUUCGAUACUGAUCGACUCGAAGGCAGGAGAGGGAAGUGGAAUUCCCGGUGUAGUGGUGAAAUGCGUAGAUAUCGGGAGGAACACCAGUGGCGAAGGCGACUUCCUGGCCUGUUCUUGACGCUGAGGCGCGAAAGCUAGGGGAGCAAACGGGAUUAGAUACCCCGGUAGUCCUAGCCGUAAACGAUGGACACUAGGUGUUGGCGGUAUCAACCCGCCAGUGCCGAAGCUAACGCAUUAAGUGUCCCGCCUGGGGAGUACGGCCGCAAGGCUA